rnacentral:rRNA from 1 species
CAGCCGUAAACGAUGUGCGUUAGGUGUAUCGGUGACCACGAGUCACCGAGGUGCCGAAGAGAAAUCGUGAAACGUACCGCCUGGGAAGUACGGUCGCAAGGCUGAAACUUAAGGAAUUGGCGGGGGAGCACCACAACAGGUGGAGCCUGCGGUUUAAUCGGACUCAACGCCGGGAAACUCACCAGAUAAGACAGCUGAAUGAUAGUCGGGCUGAAGACUCUGCAUGACUAGCUGAGAGGUGGUGCAUGGCGUAGACGUCU